rnacentral:rRNA from 1 species
CGCGGUAUCAUGACCGUGCAAAGGUAGCAUAAUCAUUAGUCUUUUAAUUGGGGGCUUGUAUGAAUGAUUGAAUGAGAAGUAAACUGUCUUUAUUAGGCGGAUUGAAUUUGACUUUUAAGUGAAAAGGCUUAAAUAAACUAAAGGGACGAUAAGACCCUAUAAAGUUUUACAUUAAUUUUUUGAAAUGUAAAUUAUAAGUUUAAAAUUAAUUAAAAAUGAAAUGUUUCGUUGGGGCGACAAAAAUAUAAUUAGUAUUAACUGUUUUAUUGAAAUAGCCAAAGGUAUUUGGGUGGAAGACUUUUUAUUAAAGUGUUAGAGUAAGUUACUUUAGGGAUAACAGCGUAAUUUUUUUUGAGAGUUCUUAUCGACAAGAAAGUUUGCGACCUCGAUGUUGAAUUAAAGAGUCUUUAUAGCGCAGAAGCUAUAGGAGAGAGUCUGUUCGACUUUUAAAUCUUUACAUGAUUUGA